CUCCGCGCCGCCUGCGAGCGACGCCCACCUGUCUGCCCAGAUACCGCCCUUUCCAAGGAAAGACCUUUGUAGCCCGAAAGGUGACCAGGCCCCAGCCGUGGCGCCGCCGGGCACCCGGGCGCGCACCCUGCUCUAGAUUGCGUGGCCGGAGGGGCAGCUGCCUGGGAAGCCCCGAAGGCAGGGCGCGCUCGGGGCGGUGCCGGCUGCAACCGGGACCCGGCCGCGCAGGCCGCCUGCAGCCGGGAGAGGCGCCGAGCAGCUCCACCCAGCCAACCUAGCGCCUUUUAGGCACAGCUGGGGCAAGCUUGCCCUAGGGACCGCGUCGGGGGUGUCCGAGAGGGCGCGGCGGCUGGGUGCGCACCGCAUCAGCAAACUUAACCCGACGGGUCUGGGAGCAAGAUGGAUCGGAGGGAGAUUUCACUCCCCCGGUGCUGGAAGAAGUUGGCGAAUGGCGAAUGGUCGGACCUUAAAUUCCCAGGACGGGUCCCAGACACAUGGUCUGAGCGAGUGGGACAAAGCUGCCUAGUAGGGUUCAAGGAGCUGGGGGUUGGGGAGCGGGGAGAGAAAGUGUAGAGGAGGUUAGACUUGGAAGGAAAAAGAAUCCCAGAGCUCAGAGGUUGGGUAAAAGUUGUAUCUGGCCCCAAGUAAAACCCAGAAACCCAGGUGUGGUUUUAAACUGUAUCCUGGCCGACGCCACCGACAGAGGCGGGGAAACGCUGAGUUUGUAGGCUCUUGUAGCACUGAUGUUGAACUUGUUCUUAAGUUGGUUAAUAAUUCUAACGCAAGGCAAGCUGCUUGAGAGAUUUACACCUCUCCAUACCUAAGACCGAGAUACGCCCUGCGUUCCCGAAGGAUGGACAGACAGGUAAACGCUGGGGCUCUCAGUUUUUCAUAAAGACAAAGAUGAAUAAUUGCGGAUUGGAAAGUCAGCCUCCAAACCCUGCCUCAAAUACAGGCACACAAUUCCCCAGUCAGUGGUUCCCAAAGGGGCUUUGAACGUGUACUAGCAUCCGCUGGGAGGGCUGGUUACAAUACCGAUUUCAGGGCCCUCAGAAUUUUCCGCAGAACAAAAGGGGUGCCUAAGAAUUCGCAUUUCUACUAAUAAGUUCCCAGAUGGUGUUGGGACCACACUGCCCUAAGCCAUUGGUUCUCAAAUUUGGCUGAACAGUGCAAUCGCUUGGGAUAUUUUAAAAAAUAUUUCUGCUUGGGACCUAACCCCCCCCCCCAAAUUCUAACUCCAUUGAUCAGGUGCAUCGGGAUUUUCAGUCUCUUUAGGUGAUUCCAAUAUAGAGCGAAGUUUGAAUACCGCUCCCCUAAGUCAUUUAUUGCCCCAAGACAGCUUGUUUUGGGGGGUGCGGGGUGGAGAGGACAAGGACCUUUUCUUACCCUGCUCUUGGAGAUUCUGCCAGCAUUGGAUCUAACUUCCCAGUCCUGGGAAAGAAAAGUCCCUCCCCUUCCCAUGUGGACUGUUUUUAUUAACCAUACAGGAAUUAUAAAGGAUGGAACAAUUCCCCCAAGGCCUUAAAAACGCAUAGGAUACUUUAACAUUGAUCAUUCUGCCUGCCGGGGCUCAGGGAUAUCCCGUUAGGAGCCAAAGUGAUCUCUCAGGGUUAGUGAUUGCUAGCUUUUCAGACUAACAUCGUGGAGACCAAGAGUCCCAAAUCCAAGUGCCUGUGGACACAAAUUCACCAAAUGGUGCCCUGCUACAUUAAUGUGGGUUGCAGGGGAAAUCACUCCCUUGACUAGGAGAGUGGGAGUGGGAGGAGUGGUAUUGGACUUGAGGAUCACCUUCGCACAAGCCCAAACUCUGCAUUGUAUUAAUAAGUCAUGAGUUACUGAUAGAAGACUGGAAAAGUCUUCGCGUCGGAAGGGAAAUGGGGAGGGUGGGGUGACAGUGGGAAAGGUUGCUCUUUUUGCCCUUCCGAGGGUGACACAAGAGGCAGGGACACCUCCACCCCAGAGGAAGCCCCCAGAGGUACUCCGCUGGACACAGAUGGGUUUGGUUGCCUGAAGGGUUUCCCAUCUCCCUCUAGACGAGCCAGGAAUGGAGAUAAUCCAAAAGGACUGGAUGCCCACAGGGAUUGCUUAUAACUUCCCAACACUUCCCCCCCCCGCCCCCCUCCCUCCCAGCCGUGGCCACUUUCCAGACCAUUUGGUCAAUAUUGCCAGAGCACCCUUAAGGACACCCUCUUCAGCGACGAAUUGUGGGGGGGGACACCAUGGGGAUUAGAGGGAGCAAAACCCUCCCCCACUGGUUAGGAAUUACUGAAGACUAUCUUGUGGGCCCUUCCGUGCCCCAACAGGGAGGGAAAUCAAGAUGGACCUCCUAGUUUCCAAGAACUCACUGUUUUCCCUUUCUGCCCAUCUGUGGGGGUUGGGGGAUACGGCAUCUUCAGAGACCCCAGAAAAGAAGGCAUCCUGUCGGAGACUGCAAAUGAGUGGAUUCCAAAGAGCAAAGAGAGAUUUGAUGCUCUGUGGAACCCAGUCCUGGGCAGGGCUCCCCUGUCACACUCGGGGGCCAGCACUGGGGCUACCGUCUGUCUCUCUCGGCCUGGAGAGACCCUGCCUGUCCUAGCGAUUUACUCUGGAAGAGUUGGGAGAGUUCCCCCUUCCCUUUGCUCUCCCUGCUCCCCCCACCCCCAAGCGCGCAUACCUACGCGAGCGCGCGCGUACACACACACACACACACACACACACACACACACACACACACCACACCUCGCGGUUCUUCGCUAGGGUUUCCCUCCAGGGCAGAUUACUUUAUGACAGGGUGUGAUAAGUGGUGAUUUUGUUCCUCUUUUGAUGGCAGGAUUGCUUUGUAAACAGAAGCGCAAACUCGUUCCGAUAGUGGUUCCGCACCGCUGAGCGGCGGCCGCCCUGGCACAGCGGGCGGCGGAGGCUGCCACUGCACCUGUCGCCUGGGGCCUGGAGGAACCGGGGCCACGCGUGGAGGGGUCACGGGCCUAUGGCCUCCAGGGCAUGUCUAGGGUUUUGGCCUCUGGGCCACCUGUCUUACUGCCCCCUUGGGGCCUUCUGUAUCCACAGCUCCAAGAACUCCCAGUUCCAAGUGCAAGCCUUGGAGGCGCUUAGGUGAGCACACCUCAGGGUCACAGUUCCUCUCUUCUGCACUCUCCUUGGGCGCCUUUGGUAAGAGGUUUGGCUUCUUUCUUC
rnacentral:lncRNA from 1 species